GGGUGGUGAUCAUCGGGGCGCUGUAUCUAUCGAAGUGUCCGUCUGUCUGUCUGUGGCAUUUGAAGGCGACUAAAGUGAUGAGGCUGAGCAGAAAGAUGAGCGACACGGCCACAACGGCGAUGAGCAGAUACAAGUGCAAGGCGGAGAAGCUCUCCUCCUUGCUGGGCGGAUGUCUGAACGGAGUGUGGUUGUCAGCUGUGCUUUCAAGCACCACCACAUCAAUCGACACAGUCGCUGACAGGGAGGCUUCUCCGUGAUCACAGACCGACACCACCAAGGGGUGACUUUUCAGGUCAUUGUCACUCAUUCGCCUCUUGGUCCGAAUCUCCCCGGUGCUGGUUCCGAUCCGGAAGAGGUUGUUGUUGCCUUUGGGCUCAGACAGGUGAUAGGAGAGCAGUGCAUUGUAUCCAGAGUCUGCAUCCACUGCCCUGAUCUUUGCC